AGGCACGGGCACGCGCGCAUCCACGGCAGAUCGUACGCGGAGUCGCGUCGUAAACAAGGAUCCGUUUCAUCGGUAGCCGUAUUCCCAAAGUUUCCUCGCGAAUCUGUCCGCCGUACGUGGAUUUUUUGCCACAUCACUAAGCGAGUCGUUUAUCAAGCCACGGCGUAGAGACGUUCGCAACCGAAAGACACCGCAAACGCAACAUUUUCCGAACGUUUUCACGGUGGUGUUAGUGCGCGGGUUGGCAAGCGUUGCUCGAGUGCAGUAGAGCUGCCAUUUUCCGUGUGUUGCGUUACACGAGCGAGAAAAAGAUAGAUAUCCGUGUACGGACAAGGACGGUAAAGGUCCCGAACACACGGAUUUUCGUGGUGUAAAAGACAGAGGAAUUCGUCGUGCGUUGUUUCAUCCCGGGACUGUAACUCGUAAUCGCUGCGAAAACGAAGAAAAUAAAAGCAAAGGUGGAGGGACGAGUCGCGGGAGCGCGCGCCCGAAACUGGCCCGACGAUCAAGAGAUGCUGCACGACAAUGCUGCCGGUGAUCGACGACGACCAUGAGUUUUCCAAUUUACGCUUUAUCGGGACAGAUUGCGCGCUAACGCGAAAUAGAAGAAACAGAAAGGCGGUCGUGUGGCAGGUUUACAACGUGCCGUCCGGUGAUUCGUCGUUGUCGAUGGGAAACGUGGAUGGUUUUUUCUCUUUCGGUGAAAAAUAAGUGGAUCCAUCCGCACACGUUUAUAACAGUCGCGGCGACGCGAAUGAUCGUGGGAUUGGCGUUUUUCGACAGCCGAAAUCUAUCGUUUCCGCAAUUUCUUUCAACCCCGGUGAACAGGUUUCGUUCCUUUCCGCGUAAUUUUACGUAAUUUCCAUGAUCGAGUCGCAUCUUCUUUUUCUUUUUUUUCCUUUAUUUUCCUCGUCUUUCUCGUCCCCUCUCUUUUUAUCUCGUCUCUUAGGUUCUUUCGUCUUUCUAGCGAUUCGUUUCCAAACGGCCAAGAACCAUGUACGCGAUCCUCGGCCAUUUUUCGGGUAAUUCGGUUACCGAGAAGAGAGAAGCGUUUUGCCAGUUCCAUUAAGCUAGAGGCUGAUAUCAGAAGAGAGGGGAAAGAAAAUCGAUUAUGGAGCUUCACGACGCGUCCACUCUGAAAGCAUCGGUGCCUUACGCGAUAAAUCCUUCUUGUGAAAGCAGAUAUUGCGUUAGCUACCCUCUGACCGGAAGUAGCUGCUACUUUUAAAUUUCAUCCACGAUAUAUCGACGAUUUUCUAUUCCCGAUAAAAUCGUCGAAUAUUCUUUGCUCUCGAUCGUCCCGAAUUUAACGCUCUAUUACCGUCUGACCGGAUCGAACGUUUAACGUGGUUGCUAUUUUCAACGUGAGCAGGAAGAAUAAAUUGGCCGUUUGCG